rnacentral:rRNA from 1 species
CGCUAUCACUCCUACGGGAGGCAGCAGUGGGGAAUAUUGCACAAUGGGGGGAAACCCUGAUGCAGCCAUGCCGCGUGUGUGAAGAAGGCCUUCGGGUUGUAAAGCACUUUCAGUAGGGAGGAAGGUAGUGUAGUUAACACCUGCAUUAUUUGACGUUACCUACAGAAGAAGCACCGGCUAACUCCGUGCCAGCAGCCGCGGUAAUACGGAGGGUGCGAGCGUUAAUCGGAAUUACUGGGCGUAAAGCGCAUGCAGGCGGCCUGUUAAGUCAGAUGUGAAAGCCCGGGGCUUAACCUCGGAAUUGCAUUUGAAACUGGCAGGCUAGAGUCUUGUAGAGGGGGUAGAAUUUCAGGUGUAGCGGUGAAAUGCGUAGAGAUCUGAAGGAAUACCAGUGGCGAAGGCGGCCCCCUGGACAAAGACUGACGCUCAGAUGCGAAAGCGUGGGGAGCAAACAGGAUUAGAUACCCUGGUAG